rnacentral:rRNA from 1 species
AUUGAACGCUGGCGGCAUGCCUAACACAUGCAAGUCGAACGAGUGGCGGACGGGUGAGUAAUGUCUUGGAAACUGCCUGAUGGAGGGGGAUAACUACUGGAAACCGUAGCUAAUACCGCAUACCAUCGGAUGUGCCCAGAUGGGAUUAGCGAGUGGGUGGGGUAACGGCUCACCUAGGCGACGAUCCCUAGCUGGUCUGAGAGGAUGACCAGCCACACUGGGACGGAGACACGGUCCAGACUCCUACGGGAGGCAGCAGUGGGGAAUAUUGGACAAUGGGCGCAAGCCUGAUGCAGCCAUGCAGCGUGUAUGAAGAAGGCCUUCGGGUUGUAAAGUACUUUCAGCGGGGAGGCGGUACCCGAAGAAGAAGCACCGGCUAACUACGUGCCAGCAGCCGCGGUAAUAC